AUUGAACGCUGGCGGCAUGCCUAACACAUGCAAGUCGAACGAGUGGCGGACGGGUGAGUAAUUUAUGGGCACGUGCCUAACCGAGGGGGAUAACUACUGGAAACCUUGGAUAAUACCGCAUACGAUCCGAUCUGGCGAGAUUGGAUGAGCUAGUUGGUGGGGUAAAGGUUCACCGAGGCGACGAUCCCUAGCUGGUCUGAGAGGACGACCAGCCACACUGGGACUGAGACACGGCCCAGACUCCUACGGGAGGCAGCAGUAGGGAAUAUUUGACAAUGGGCGAAAGCCUGAUGCAGCCAUGCCGCGUGUAUGAAGAAGGUCUUCGGGUUGUAAAGUACUUUUGGCAGAGAGGCGUUAUCUGCAGAAGAAGCCCCGGCUAACUACGUGCCAGCAGCCGCGGUAAUUC
rnacentral:rRNA from 1 species